GACGAACGCUGGCGGCGUGCUUAACACAUGCAAGUCGAACGGAAAGGCCCUGCUUUUGUGGGGUGCUCGAGUGGCGAACGGGGGAGUAACACGUGAGUAACCUGCCCUUGACUUUGGGAUAACUUCAGGAAACUGGGGCUAAUACCGGAUAGGAGCUCCUGCUGCAUGGUGGGGGUUGGAAAGUUUCGGCGGUUGGGGAUGGACUAGCGGCUUAUGAGCUGGUUGGUGGGGUAGGGGCUUACCAAGGCUUUGACGGGUAGCCGGCAUGAGAGGGUGACCGGCCACACGAGCACUGAGACACGGUCCAGACUCCUACGGUAUGCAGCAGUAGGGAAUCUUCCGCAAUGGGCGAAAGCCUGACGGAGCAACGCCGCGUGAGUGAUGAAGGGCUUCGGAUCGUAAAACUCUGUUAUGAGGGAAGAACAAAUGUGUAAGUAACUAUGCACGUCUUGACGGUACCUAAUCAGAAAGCCACGGCAAACUACGUG
rnacentral:rRNA from 1 species